UAGCCAUGCGAGUCGAGAGGGUUCGGCCCUCGGCGAACUGCUCAGUAACACGCUGGUAUAAUCUAACCUUAGGUGGAGCAUAACCUCGGGAAACUGAGAAUAAUACUCCAUAGAUCUUUGAGGCUGGAAUGCGCUUAGAUUGAAAGCUUCGGCGCCUAAGGAUGAGUCUGCGGACUAUCAGGUAGUAGUCAGGGUAAAGACCUGACUAGCCUACGACGGAUACGGGUUGUGAGAGCAAUAACCCGGAGAUGAUAUCUGAGACACGGUAUCAGGCCCUACGGGGCGCAGCAGGCGCGAAAACUUCACAAUGCGCGAAAGCGCGAUGAGGGGAUCCCAAGUGCUUGCACGUAAGUGUAAGCUGUUUUUCUGUCUAAAAAGCAGAGAGAGUAAGGGCUGGGUAAGACGGGUGCCAGCCGCCGCGGUAAUACCUGCAGCUCAAGUGGUGGCCGCUAUUAUUGGGCCUAAAACGUCCGUAGCCGGCUGAGUAAAUGCCUGGGUAAAUCGUGUGGCUUAACCAUACGAAUUCCGGGUAGACUGCUCAGCUUGGGACCGGAAGAAGUUAGAGGUACUCCUGGGGUAGGGGUGAAAUCCUGUAAUCCUGGGGGGACCACCAGUGGCGAAGGCGUCUAACUAGGACGGGUCUGACGGUGAGGGACGAAGCCCUGGGGCGCAAACCGGAUUAGAUACCCGGGUAGUCCAGGGUGUAAACGCUGCUUGCUUGAUGUUAGCUGGGCUCCGAGCUCGGCUAGUGUCGGAGAGAAGUUGUUAAGCAAGCUGCCUGGGAAGUACGGUCGCAAGACUGAAACUUAAAGGAAUUGGCGGGGGAG
rnacentral:rRNA from 1 species